rnacentral:rRNA from 1 species
GACGAACGCUGGCUGCGUGCUUAACACAUGCAAGUCGAACGCAGUGGCGAACGGGUGAGUAACGCGUAAUCAACCUGCCCUUCAGAGGGGGACAACAGUUGGACACGCCUGCUAAUACCGCAUACUGAAGGAGGGGAUUUCGUCUGAUUAGCGAGUUGGAGGGGUAACGGCCCACCAAGGCGAUGAUGAGUAGCCGGUCUGAGAGGAUGAACGGCCAAAGUGGGACUGAGAAACGGCCCAGACUCCUACGGGAGGCAGCAGUGGGGAAUCUUCCGAAAUGGACGAAAGUCUGACGGAGCAACGCCGCGGGAGUGAUGACGGCCUUCGGGUUGUAAAGCUCUGUUAAUCGGGACGCGGUACCGGAAUAGAAAGCCACGGCUAACUACGUGCCAACAGCCGCGGUAAUUC